rnacentral:lncRNA from 1 species
AAUAAUUAUAACAAUAUACAGCAAUGAGAGCUACAUGAAUCUAGUCUCUUUCUCUCUCAAAAUAUUUUAUUGUACUGUCUUCACCAUUCUUCUCUUAAUCUGUCAAUCUGAUCACCAAGAGGACUGCUGAGUGACUCGUGGGCAGGUAGCAUGGACAGCGUGGAUAUGCUGGGCAAAAGAAUGAUUCACUAAGUGACUAAGGGGCGGGAGCCAGACAGUGAGCUUUCUGAUGAACAGCGGGCAAUUUAAAACUUAUGAACUGUUGGCUGGGCACAGUGGGUCACGCCUGUAAUCCCAGUAUGUUGGGAGGCCGAGGCGGGUGGAUCACUUGAGGUCAGGAGUUCGAGACCAGCCUGGCCAAUAUGGUGAAGCCCCGUCUCUAUUAAAAAUACAAAAAUUAUCCUGGCAUGGUGGCUCACACCUGUAAUCCCAACUACUCUGGAAGCAAAGAAUCGCUUGAACCCGGGAAGCGGAAGUUGCAGUGAGCCGAGAUUGCGCCACUGCACUCCAGCCUGAGUGUCACAGUGAGACUCUGUCUCAAAAUAAACAAAUAAAUAAAUGAAUAAAUCAUGAGUUGUUUACUUCUGGGAUUUUCCAUUUAAUAUUACUAACCGUGGUUGACCAGGGGCAACAGAAGCCGUGGAUAAUGGGGGCUAUUGUACACAAAAAUUACCAUGAUAGAGUUUUACGCAGUACAAAUGAAAAACAAAAUAACACAAUUCCAUUUACACGUAGUUUUAUGUAGAAAGUCUUUAAAUAAUUGUGACUAGAAUUAAAUACAGUAGAUUACUAUUAGUAAUUAUUUGUGAUGUGACAGAUGUGUUACUAUAUACUUAGUUUAUCACUUUCUCUUCCUAGACCCACAAGAAGUUAUUUCUCAGCCUUUCUUGCAGUUUCCAUGUACUUGGGCCCUACACAAGAUGUGGGAUGAAAGCAGUGAAAGACAUUUCCACUACUGGUCCUCUUAAAAAUUCUAAUACAAACUUCCAGUAAUGACCUUGGAGACCCUAUGUUCCAGAUUGAGAAGUUAAAAGAUAGACAAGGACUACAUAGCCUACAUCAAGUUUUGGGUAUAUUAACUUCUACCUUCCAUGUUCUGUGGAAUCUCAUGCCAAAGGCUUUUUUGAGCAAUUGGGUCUUGACUGCUGCAGCUUGAUGAUAGAUUCAACACGAUCUAAUGAAGAAUGACAGCUGGAAAUCAGAGACAGUGUGCAAUAUAGAAACCAUCUUUUUCUCAAUGUCACCAUGAAUUAUUUAUGUAACUCAAAAUAUUUUAUUUCACGUUCAAAAUAAAUAAAUCUGCUUUAAAAACAAGUUUAAUAAGCUUAUUGUAUAUUGUAGUUAUCUGACACAUUUGGGUAUUUAUUUACGUGUGUAAUUAUCAUGAAAAUCUGAGAGACGAUUUAUUUUCUAGAAAUUAAGCCCACUGCAAUGAAAUCUCCUUUUAGGUGUUCUAAUAGUUUUCCUUAUAAACAUCUUAUUACCUUGCAUUGAUAUGUUAUAUCAAAUUUUGAAAUGGGCAUCAUCUUCUAAUUUUAUUGGAGCACUAAAUACUCUAGCCACUGAAAACAAUUUAUGAGAGGAUUUCUUUUAAAAUUCUGUAAGGCUGAUGCAUCUAAUUAUCUCAGCUUCUUUCUUUUAAAAAUGUAUUUGACACAAAGAGAAAAAAUGAAUAAAAAUGUAUAUGAAA